rnacentral:snRNA from 1 species
UUGCCUUAAACUAAUGAGUAAGGAAAACAAAGUGAGCGGUGGGAACUGCUCACAGCGCUAGAAAAUCUUGCGCAAGAAGUUAUGGAGGGGUUAUAGGCUGGCCGAGAGUUGAUGCUGCUUACUUUGCAGAACUCUCUCGUGUGGGCCUCCUAAACCC